rnacentral:rRNA from 1 species
CCCUUAGAUGUCCUGGGCCGCACGCGCGCUACACUGAGUGUCUGAGAUACGAGUCUGCCUGGUCCGGCAAGGUCUAGGUAAUCGCUAAAAGACACAUCAUGCUUGGGAUAGAUUAUUGCAAAUAUUAAUCUUGAACGAGGAAUUCCUAGUAAGCGCAAGUCAACAGCUUGCGUUUAUUACGUCCCUGCCCUUUGUACACACCGCCCGUCGCUACUACUGAUUGGAUGUUUAAGCGAGGUUCUCGAACUGCUAGCGACUUAGCUUCGGUGAGGUCGCAGUGUGGGAAGUGAACCUAGCUUGGGUGUCGAGAGGAAGUAAAAGUCGUAACA